GAUGAACGCUAGCUACAGGCUUAACACAUGCAAGUCGAGGGGAAACGACAUCGAAAGCUUGCUUUUGAUGGGCGUCGACCGGCGCACGGGUGAGUAACGCGUAUCCAACCUGCCCAUCACUUGGGGAUAACCUUGCGAAAGUAAGACUAAUACCCGAUGAUAUCUCUAUAAGACAUCUGAAAGGGAUUAAAGAUUUAUCGGUGAUGGAUGGGGAUGCGUCUGAUUAGCUUGUUGGCGGGGUAACGGCCCACCAAGGCAACGAUCAGUAGGGGUUCUGAGAGGAAGGUCCCCCACAUUGGAACUGAGACACGGUCCAAACUCCUACGGGAGCAGCAGUGAGGAAUAUUGGUCAAUGGACGGGAGUCUGAACCAGCCAAGUAGCGUGCAGGAUGACGGCCCUAUGGGUUGUAAACUGCUUUCAGUCGGGAAUAACUCGUCGGUCGUGACCGACGUUGCAGGUACCGUCAUAAGAAGGACCGGCUAAUUCCGUG
rnacentral:rRNA from 1 species